AUGGAAAUCAGAGUCCAUCAUUUCCUGGACCAGCUCCCAGGUGGGUUUCAGAUGUCCGUUGAACUGAAGGGGCAGGAACGUUCUGAGAAGUUAAAGGAACAUAGUGUAGAAAGAUACAUCAGAUACCAAAAUAUAUAUCAACCAUACUCCCCUUCAUGGCCACCGGCGGAAGGAAUCCGUUGCACAGAAUACAAAAAGUGGAAGGCUGAAUAAAAAAUAAGCUCCUGUUCAAGUGACCUCACAGCUUUCUGAUGACCUCCACUGGCUGUGCCACAUUUCUGGUGCUGAAUGGAUGCACAACAAGUCACUACUUAUCUGGGCUUCGGUGGAGUUGUUCGAUUUGAAAAGUAAAGCGGUACUUUAAUGGUCCCUUCAGUUCUCACACUCAGUGUUUCAAUAUUUGUCCUGUUCUACCUGGAUUGUAAUCAAUCCUAAAACUUCCUCACAUUUCUGGAUGAUGGAAUGAACAAUCCUGCAUAUGGCUUCCAAAUGGAAAGAAACCUGAUCUCAGAACUCAAGGCUCUGGUCUGCAGUGGCCACAGUUCAUCUCUGGCCUUGACAAGCCAUUUCUUGGCCGUGGAACUCAUUACUUGAAAGAGAUUUGCUAUAGCUCCCGUUAUGGUGCCUUUAGAAGAAAUAAAGAUCUCCUGCC
rnacentral:lncRNA from 1 species